rnacentral:rRNA from 1 species
CAGCAGUAGGGAAUAUUGCACAAUGGGCGGAAGCCUGAUGCAGCAACGCCGCGUGCGGGACGACGGCCUUCGGGUUGUAAACCGCUUUCGCCUGUGACGAAGCGUGAGUGACGGUAAUGGGUAAAGAAGCACCGGCUAACUACGUG